AAAGGGUUUGCCAAAGAAGUACGAUGGGCACAAGAGAAGAAUGCCUCCCAACAACCUGAGACUUGCACGCAGACUGCAGAUCUACUGCUGCAGUCUUUAAACUUGAAGAGCUGACAACUUUUCUGGCUUGUUUGAAUCGGCAAAACUUUUAACAUGUGAAAAGGAAAGAAUAUGCAUUCCUGCUCCAACCCCCUGCCUCCCUCCGCAGCAGCAGAGAUGACAAAUGAUCUUUCUGGCAACAACAUCAACUGCCUACAUUGGAAAUAAACAAUGUUUUGACAGCAAAUGAGUAUCAGUGUAGACACAAGCCUGCAUUCCAUGCUUGUAUGAAGCUGAACACAAGGCCUUGCAUGCUGCUGGAGGCAAAACUUCGUGAGUUUGCUUUAUGAAUUUGUAUUUUUAUAUAUUCAACAAAAC
rnacentral:lncRNA from 1 species